rnacentral:rRNA from 1 species
GUCGAACGGGACUCUUCGGAGUUCAGUGGCGGACGGGUGAGUAACGCGUGAGAAUCUACCUUCAGGUCUGGGACAACCACUGGAAACGGUGGCUAAUACCGGAUGUGCCAUACAGUGAAAGAUUUAUCGCCUGAAGAUGAGCUCGCGUCUGAUUAGCUAGUUGGUGAGGUAAAAGCUCACCAAGGCGACGAUCAGUAGCUGGUCUGAGAGGAUGAUCAGCCACACUGGAACUGAGACACGGUCCAGACUCCUACGGGAGGCAGCAGUGGGGAAUUUUCCGCAAUGGGCGAAAGCCUGACGGAGCAAGACCGCGUGAGGGAGGAAGGCUCUUGGGUUGUAAACCUCUUUUGUCAGGGAAGAAGAAAGUGACGGUACCUGACGAAUCAGCCUCGGCUAACUCCGUGCCAGCAGCCGCGGUAAUACGGAGGAGGCAAGCGUUAUCCGGAAUCAUUGGGCGUAAAGCGUCCGCAGGUGGCUAUUCAAGUCUGCUGUCAAAGCACAGGGCUUAACCCUGUUAAGGCGGUGGAAACUGAAAGGCUAGAGUGCGGUAGGGGUAGAGGGAAUUCCCGGUGUAGCGGUGAAAUGCGUAGAGAUCGGGAAGAACAUCGGUGGCGAAAGCGCUCUACUGGACCGCAACUGACACUCA